rnacentral:tmRNA from 1 species
GGGGUCGUUUUUGGUUUUGACAGCAAGAUGAAUGGAUAUGUAAGCAUGUCGAGCAUUGUGAGUUGGCUCGUAAAUAUCGGCUCUCGAAUCGCUAACUGGCGAAAAUAACUAUGCAAUGGCUGCGUAAUCUCGACCAAGUCGGAUUAUACUUAAUACUUACUCUUAGAGGGUAAGCACCAUUAAUCUCUCAACAGUUCUGUUCAUUAAUUGUUGUAUUCGAGGUUUCAAAAUUUUGAACUAGCUAAGUAAAACGCUUCGAUUUACUGGUAAAACACAAGAAGCUUAAGUUUGAAAUUGGCUGUCUUUAGCCUGUUUUAUACCUAACAAUUAAUUAAAGACUAAACAUGAAGAAAGCGUAUUGAUUCCUUGUUUGGACGAGGGUUCGAAUCCCUCCGACUCCACAG